AGUGAAGCGGGAUGAGCUCAAAUUUAAAAUCUGGCUGGUUUACUAGUCCGAGUUGUAGUUUAAAGAAGCGUUUUCGGUGGCAGUCUCGGUAUAAAUCCUUUGGAAUAGGGUAUCAUAGAGGGUGAGAAUCCCGUCUUUGACUGAGAAUAUGCUACUAUGUGAUACGUUUUCAAAGAGUCGAGUUGUUUGGGAAUGCAGCUCAAAAUGGGUGGUAAAUUUCAUCUAAAGCUAAAUAUUGGCGAGAGACCGAUAGCGAACAAGUACCGUGAGGGAAAGAUGAAAAGAACUUUGAAAAGAGAGUUAAACAGUGCGUGAAAUUGUUGAAAGGGAAACGCUUGAAACCAGUCAUGCGGUUGGGAAAUCAGUCUCUGACGGGGGGGAAUGGGGGAGGUGUGGACCGCAAGGCCGCUCUUUCUUAUAUCUUUCUCGGCAGGGAUGCACUUUUUCUUCUGCAGGUCAACAUCAGUUUGCUUUGCCGGACAAAACUCUUGGGAAGGUGACAGCUUAGGCUGUGUUAUAGCCCUUGAGCGAUACGGUGGAGUGGACUGAGGUUUUCGCAGCAUGUGCUCUCGGGCAAGGCUGAUUGGGUGCUAUGAGAUCGUUCAGGGUACAAUACAUGUAUUUUGCCUUGUGUCUUUUUUAUACUCGCUCAACUCGGCUCUUCCAUGCUUAGGAUGUUGACAUAAUGGUUUUAAUCGACCCGUCUUGAAACACGGACCAAGGAGUCUAACAUAUAUGCAAGUGUUUGGGUGGCAAACCCAUGCGCGUAAUGAAAGUGAACGUAGGUGCGAUCCGCAAGGUGCAGCAUCGACCGAUCUUGAUAUUUUUGGAUAGAUUUGAGUAAGAGCAUAUAUGCUGGGACCCGAAAGAUGGUGAACUAUGCCUGAAUAGGGUGAAGCCAGAGGAAACUCUGGUGGAGGCUCGUAGCGAUUCUGACGUGCAAAUCGAUCGUCAAAUUUGGGUAUAGGGGCGAAAGACUAAUCGA
rnacentral:rRNA from 1 species